rnacentral:rRNA from 1 species
AGGGUGUAAACGCUGCAGACUUGGUGUUGGAAGCCCUUUGGGGGCAUUCAGUGCCGGAGAGAAGUUGUUAAGUCUGCUACUUGGGGAGUACGUCCGCAAGGAUGAAACUUAAAGGAAUUGGCGGGGGAGCACCGCAACGGGAGGAGCGUGCGGUUUAAUUGGAUUCAACACCGUAAAACUCACCAGGGAAGACUGUUACAUGAAGGCCGAGAUGAAGACUCUGCUAGAUUUUCAGAGAGGAGGUGCAUGGCGUCAGUGACUGU